GAGCAUUCAAAACGUUAGUUAAUUUUAGACCAAAAUGAUUUUUUAGCACUGAGUUUAAAUUUUCAUUAGUUCAAAGAAUGGCGAUUUAUUUGGUUCAUGUUUUCCAGAUGUGCGUGGUUGCAAAUCAAUAACCAGUCCCCUGCAAUAAAUUCUUGUGUUAAACACUUUAUAGCCAGGCUAAAGGGUACAUAAAUAAGAGGAGAGCAAACUGAUAGACUGCUAGAGAACCAGUAUUCCUGCCUUUCCUUAGAAAAGUUCAUGUACGUAUCAGCUGGCACGUAUUACAUUUGCUUACAGGGUUUUCUUCCCUCCUCCUCCUCACCGUGGAUUUGCAGUUGGCACUUGCAGAAAUCUGGAGCCAGUGUGCCUCCGUGUAACAACUCUGAGCUGCACAGAGGGGAAGGACAUUCGUGAAAGCAGCGCUGGGAAAAUUUGCCUGCUGCCUUUGCCCUCACCAGGGAUCUGUGUGGGGAGUUCAGGAUGUUAUGAGAACAGAGCCGAGCUGAAGGCCUCGCCAGCUGCAGAGAAGUGCAGCCGUGCCCGAGUGCGGCUCGGAGGUGUGCGGUGCCACCCACGACACACCCAGGAGGUUCCCACUUCUUGGAAAUGUUGUGGCACCGUGUCGUAAUGUCGAAAACCUCUCCCGGCUUUUGUAUUUUCAACUAAGAAUAAAAUAAGGUGAACCACACCUUUACUGACAACACCCAGAAAAGCUCCCAAGAAAACCCGCUGUUGGUCCCACGUGGCUCCCUUUGCACCUCAGAAGUUUUCAGCAGCCAGCCCAAUGCCUCACCUCCCUCUGUAGCACCCUUCAUGCAUUAUUAACUCUCGUCCUUUUCAAAACAUCACUGUGCACAUUCACUGCAUGUAAAUGCAGAGUUAGAUUCUUAUUUAUUUCGCGCAGUGCCACAGAGUAAAAGAGCUUUUAAAGUACAAGUAUAUGAAAUAUGAUUUUUCGGAGAACUGUUCAGUUUGUUUAUAAAUCCAGACCGAACACAGAGCUUUUUACAGUGUAGAUCAUAUAUCACAGCCAUUAUUUGCUGUUUGACCUCAUCGUUUAUUUACUCAUGUGGCACAAUAAGAGCCACGCGAAGAUCUGUCUUUUCUGUGGUUCUGCUUCUCGGGGCUUCUAAAGCUUUAUGUUUGUUUUAUGCUUUGAUUUUAACUCACGUUCCAGAAGUCACGUGUCUGAGGAAGAAACUGUUCUCCUUAGGUUUUGUUUCUGUUCUGUGUUCUCUCAUUAUUUAUUUUAAAGCUAAUCCCCAACCUUCACCAUUAAAUAGAACCUUGGGAAUGUAAAGACACAAAACCUCACAGCAAAUCUGUACCCAAUACAUCGCUUUUUGAAAAAGGAAUCCAAUGACUUCUGUGUUAAUCUCUUGGUUUGUAAUUUGCUAGUGUAUGCCAGGCACAUGCUAUGCUUUGCCUUAUGAAAGCCAUGCUGCUGUGUGAGCAAUCGAAGAAACAAGCAUCACAGCUAGAACCUGGGGGGAGGAGGUGGAUUGCUUUCCAUGAAGUCUGUGAGGUUGUUUUAACUGUGGAAAAGGGAAAGGAGGAGGCAAAAGUUAAGAAAUGGGAAUGUUGGAGAGAGGGGGGUUUGGAACCAACCUCUUUUCCUUUGCUUCAGACAAGGACCCUCCUUCAGGGCCCCACAGGCUUUGUGCAGAGGAUGCCCAGUGCCCAGCAGCAGGGAUGUGCUGAGCGGGACAGGGCAGGGCUGUCCCACCCCAGCCCCAAGGAAGGUGCUGUCACUGUGUGAGCUUCACGUAGCACACCCAGGGAACGUUCAGAUCCUCUGACAACAUCGGAAACAGCAGUAGUGCUUUGUUAUUGGAAAGAAGCAAGUGAACAAUAACAUUCAAGCUGUAAAUUAAAAGCCCACUGCAAAUGGGCUCUUAAAAGUAUUAGCAUGCAUAUUAUAAGUUAUUAAAAACAAGGCGGAAUGCUAGGCAAGAACACUCGGGUUGAAGGAGAAUUCACCACUCAGUUACACAAGAACAAUCUUGUAAAUAAGCCCACCAUGAUUUCCAUGAGUGACGUUGCAGUCAUGCUGUAUAUAUAAGCAGCUUAACCAUAAUGCUGAAAGCUGAAACAACAGCAUGCCAUUUACAACAACAAGAUGAAAACCAAAUGGAAAACAAAACAAACUUGCCUGUCUGUUCUCAGCCGUGCCCUGGAAAUGAGGUUAUGCUCUCAAAAAAUGCUGAUAAUUGCUCAGGUCUUUGUAGGACUGGGACCCUCUUUGAGUAACAUCACCAAUUGCUUUAAAAUAUUUAUCUGAGAAGCCUUCUCUGACAGAGCUCAAGCUUAAAAUGUUGUUUACAGUAACAGUUGUUCGUGCUAUUUUAUUGAUGAAUUUCUUCCCCUUUGAGUAUACACCAUGGCCUCUAUCUUUCCUCCAUUGAUUCAUUGUUUGCAAGCGUUCUACUGAUGAUUCAGACACUAGCUUCUUGUUUCAUCUGAUGUUUAGAAAUCCCUUGCUUCUUGUCGCUUGCAAUUCAUAGUUAAGCUGUAAAAUAAUUACAUCACUGUGCUUGCUCCUAACUGGAAAACUCAGCAUUUUGAAAACAGGUGUAAUCAACAGCGAUGCUCUUUUGAUUAAAACAAAUGCGUUCUUCAGAAAUAUUUUGCCUGCUAUCCCAAAGUCGUCUGACUGGUCAAAUAAAAAGAUGACUCACACGAG
ensembl:lncRNA